rnacentral:rRNA from 1 species
UACGGAGGAUCCGAGCAUUAUCCGGAUUUAUUGGGUUUAAAGGGUGCGCAGGCGGGAGAUUAAGUCGGCGGUGAAAUUUUGCAGCUCAACUGUAAAAGUGCCUUCGAAACUGGCUUCCUUGAGUGUAGAUGAAGUAGGCGGAAUUUGUGGUGUAGCGGUGAAAUGCAUAGAUAUCACGAGGAACUCCGAUUGCGCAGGCAGCUUACUAAACUACUACUGACGCUCAGGCACGAAGGCGUGGGGAUCAAACAGGAUUAGAUA